rnacentral:rRNA from 1 species
AUUGAACGCUGGCGGCAGGCCUAACACAUGAAAGUCGAGCGGAGCGGCGGACGGGUGAGUAAUGCCUAGGAAUCUGCCUGGUAGUGGGGGAUAACGUCCGGAAACGGGCGCUAAUACCGCAUACUAUCAGAUGAGCCUAGGUCGGAUUAGCUAGUUGGUGGGGUAAGGGCCUACCAAGUCGACGAUCCGUAACUGGUCUGAGAGGAUGAUCAGUCACACGGGAACUGAGACACGGUCCAGGCGCCUACGGUAGGCCGCAGUGGGGAAUAUUGGACAAUGGGCGAAAGCCUGAUCCAGCCAUGCCUCGUGUGUGAAGAAGGGCUUCGGAUUGUAAAGCACGUUAAGUUGGGAGGCGUUACCAACAGAAUAAGCACCGGCUAACUUCGUGCCAGCAGCCGCGGUAAUUC